CUAAGAAUCUUCCGCAAUGGACGAAAGUCUGACGGAGCGACGCCGCGUGGGUGAAGAAGGCCGGAAGGUUGUAAAGCCCUUUUCUCGUUGAGGAAUAAGCACAGGAGGGAAUGCCUGUGGGAUGACGGUAGGCGAGGAAUAAGUCCCGGCCAAUUACGUGCCAGCAGCCGCGGUAACACGUAUGGGACGAGCGUUGUUCGGAAUCAUUGGGCGUAAAGGGCGCGUAGGCGGCGAGGUAAGCCUGGUGUGAAAGACCGCAGCUUAACUGCGGAACCGCGCUAGGAACUGCUUUGCUUGAGUUCAGGAGGGGGAGCUGGAAUUCCAGGUGUAGGGGUGAAAUCUGUAGAUAUCUGGAAGAACACCGGCGGCGAAGGCGAGCUCCUGGCCAUGAACUGACGCUGAGGCGCGAAAGCGUGGGGAGCGAACA
rnacentral:rRNA from 1 species